UAAAUAAACAGGGAGCGGGCCGGUGGAUGACACUGAGUGUUCGAUUGAGAGUGUAAACGCGAGUUCCGUUGCAGUGACAGUGAGAUCGAUUUGAUCGAUCUAAUUUAUCGAUCGGCAGCGAUUUUUAUUGAACGCCCUCAAUAUGAAAUGGAUAUCAACUGCCGUUUGGCUUUUGGCACUCCUCUUCCAAUAUACUGUUGCUGACCAAUCCAGAGUGGUCUGUUACUGGGGAACAUGGGCCAUCUACCGUCCAGGAAUAGGAAGUUACAGUUUAAACGACAUUCCAGUGCAUUUAUGUACGCACGUCAUAUACUCAUUUAUUGGAGUUAAUAAUAACUCAUGGGACGUACUUCUCAUAGAUCC